rnacentral:rRNA from 1 species
ACGGGAGGCAGCAGUGGGGAAUAUUGCACAAUGGAGGAAACUCUGAUGCAGCAACGCCGCGUGACUGAAGAAGUAUUUCGGUAUGUAAAGGUCUAUCAGCAAGGAAGAAACAAGACGGUACUUGACUAAGAAGCCCCGGCUAACUACGUGCCAGCAGCCGCGGUAAUACGUAGGGGGCAAGCGUUAUCCGGAUUUACUGGGUGUAAAGGGAGUGUAGGUGGCAAUACAAGUCAGAAGUGAAAGCCCGGGGCUCAACCCCGGGACUGCUUUUGAAACUGUAUAGCUAGAGUACAGGAGAGGCAAGUGGAAUUCCUAGUGUAGCGGUGAAAUGCGUAGAUAUUAGGAGGAACACCAGUGGCGAAGGCGGCUUGCUGGACUGUAACUGACACUGAGGCUCGAAAGCGUGGGGAGCAAACAGGAUUAGAUACCCUGGUA